rnacentral:rRNA from 1 species
GAUGAACGCUGGCGGUCUGCUUAACACAUGCAAGUCGAACGAACUCUUCGGAGUGAGUGGCGGACGGGUGAGUAACGCGUGAGAAUCUGCCUGUGGGUCGGGGACAACCACUGGAAACGGUGGCUAAUACCGGAUGAGCCGAAAGGUAAAAGAUUUAUUGCCCACAGAUGAGCUCGCGUCUGAUUAGCUAGUUGGUAAGGUAAAAGCGUACCAAGGCGACGAUCAGUAGCUGGUCUGAGAGGAUGAGCAGCCACACUGGGACUGAGACACGGCCCAGACUCCUACGGGAGGCAGCAGUGGGAAUAUUGCGCAAUGGGCGAAAGCCUGACGCAGCCACGCCGCGUGAGCGAUGAAGGUCUUCGGAUCGUAAAGCUCUGUGGGGGAGAAGAAAGGCGGUGAAGAG